GGGUGAAGGCAAAUAGAACCUUUUAAUUAUGGGUGGCUGGCUAAAAGCGUGGCCUAAGUGCGUACUGAAUAUUUGCCGCGAAACGUGCGAGCAAACAGUUUACACGAUCGAAAUGCUAAUCGCUUAAAUUCUACUCCCUUCCCCCGGCCACGCCCACGACUCGUUGACGUGACUUGAAUGGCCAAGUUCAACAGAACGAUCAAAAAUCAACGAUCAAAACUGCGAAUGCAAACACACAUAAUGCAAAAUUAAAUAUUUACGCUGGAAAAAUACGAAAAACAAAAAGCUGUGAAAGCCACGCCAGAAACGAUAACUACGCUUCGCCUGAGAAUCGUGGGGUUUAUAAAAAUAAAUCCAUUAAUAUCGGCGCCAUUUCACGUGCAGAGCGUUGAUAUGCCAUCAACAUAUGCGUAUAUACAUACAUAUAUAUAUAUAUACAGAUAUUAUAGUAAAUGGAUAGGGGUUCAGGCUGCUUUGUACUCUCAGGUUCAAUAAGUGCGACGACUUUUGUUGGUUGGUACUACUGUACACUCGUAGUAAACAACAAUUAGCCAGGGGAGUGUCCGCAGCGACAACGGUUAAACCAGUUUUCCCUGUGAUAAACACUAGAUUACUAGAUUUUCCAGUCAGCUCAUUAGGAAGACGAUUCUGCCUGUAAUUAUGCGGCCCAACCAUUUGCACAUCUCACCUAUUCUGCGAUGACGGAACAAAGAAACGCUCUAUUCUGGACAUGCAAAUGUGGACAUGCGUCCACUCCCUCGAGUCGCCAACCCAUAUCCAUUGGUUUUCAGUAGCAUAGUUCGCCUUUAUGGCGACGCCAACUGUCAGUCACUCAGUCAGGCAUUCAGUCAGUCAGUCCAAGUCGACGGAUUUAUGGCGACGCGACGCAUCAGUAACCGAAAGUGUUGCUCUGGGACUGUGGUUUCAAUUGCUUCUGCUGCUGCUGUUGCUUUCCUGGCCAAAAGCUGCAAACGUGUUUCAAAUACCUAAAACACCAAACAACCAAAAACAGAGCUACAAAAAAAAAAAAAGGCCCAGCAAAAUGGUAGAAAUUUUCGCGCUUAUGCAAAUACCGAAACUUUUCUGGUUUUUGACUGGGAGUUUUUGGCGCCGCAGAAAGUGAAACAUUCGCAACCAGCUGGAGUUCAAUGUCAGUGAACAAUGCCUUAAUGGAAAGUUUCUUAUUUAAUCGAGCACAGAACACCUUGACAAUGUCAACUGAUCAGCUGACGAAUUACGCUUGGCUUCGCAUGAGACCUGCCGGUAAUUGGAGACAAUUUCAGAUGUCAAACUGUCUCAUCGGAAAGCCACAAAAAAGUAACAAUGUCAAUCGAGAACUUAAACGUAUACGCUCAAUAAGUCCGCUUAUGAGAACGACUUGUAAUGCAGCCUGCCAAACUUAAUCUAUUUGACAAUGGGAAUGGGAAUCGGAAUUGGCAGCAAUUUUGAAAAAAUCGUGAUAUAUUCUAUGCUUUGUGGAAUAAAUUUGAGCAAAUAUAGCAGUGACAUAAAGUAUAGGAGAAUCCCAAGCUGCGGAAAAAAACUAGCUACUUGCUCUUGAACCCAGCUAUUUGAACUUCUUGAUCCGAUUCUCACACUUGAGCGCUGCGCAUGCGCACUCAAGUGGUAUAUUUUUAAGGCAGAUGAAUGCGAUCAAAGAAACUGGCAAAUAAUUCGUGCGGAAGGUGCAGAAAAUGGCGAGCUCACACUAAUCAGCGAAAAAGAGUACACUUGGCAAAAUAAACUAAAUAAAGAAUUACAAUCAAUACGUCUACAUUACAA